GACGAACGCUGGCGGCGUGCCUAAUACAUGCAAGUUGAGCGAUGAAGAUUGGUGCUUGCACCAAUUUGAAGAGCAGCGAACGGGUGAGUAACGCGUGGGGAAUCUGCCUUUGAGCGGGGGACAACAUUUGGAAACGAAUGCUAAUACCGCAUAACAACUUUAAACAUAAGUUUUAAGUUUGAAAGAUGCAAUUGCAUCACUCAAAGAUGAUCCCGCGUUGUAUUAGCUAGUUGGUGAGGUAAAGGCUCACCAAGGCGAUGAUACAUAGCCGACCUGAGAGGGUGAUCGGCCAACAUGGGAACGGGACCAGGCCCAAACCCCCAAGGGGGGGCGCAGUAGGGAAUCUUCGGCAAUGGACGAAAGUCUGACCGAGCAACGCCGCGUGAGUGAAGAAGGUUUUCGGAUCGUAAAGCUCUGUUGGUAGAGAAGAACGUUGGUGAGAGUGGAAAGCUCAUCAAGUGACGGUAACUACCCAGAAAGGGACGGCUAACUACGUG
rnacentral:rRNA from 1 species